GUCCUGGUCGAUUAGUGGUUAAAUCAUCUCGUUGUGGUCUCUUCUCGUUGAUAAUUCUCCGAGAAGCCGAGGGCUCGACUCCCUCCCGGGAUA